GAUGAAGAACGCAGCGAAAUGCGAUAAGUAGUGUGAAUUGCAGAAUUCCGUGAAUCAUCGAAUCUUUGAACGCACAUUGCGCCCUUUGGUAUUCCUUAGGGCAUGCCUGUUCGAGCGUCAUCUACACCCUCAAGCUCCGCUUGGUGUUGGGCGUCUGUCCCGCUUCGCGCGCGGACUCGCCCCAAAGGUAUUGGCAGCGGUCGUGCCAGCUUCUCGCGCAGCACAUUGCGCUUCUCGAGGCACCGGUGGGCCCGCGUCCAUCAAGCUCACCCCCCCAGUUUGACCUCGGAUCAGGUAGGGAUACCCGCUGAACUUAAGCAUAUCAAUAAGCGGAGGA
rnacentral:misc_RNA from 1 species